AUGAACGCUGGCGGCGUGCCUAAUACAUGCAAGUCGAACGAGGUGCUUUUGUAGCAAUACGAGAGUAUCCUAGUGGCGAACGGGUGAGUAACGCGUUGGUGACCUACCCCAAAGUGUGGGAUAACAGUCCGAAAGGAUUGCUAAUACCGCAUGUGGUCUUCGGAUUUAGAAACUGAUGACUAAAGGAGCAAUUCGCUUUGGGAGGGACCUGCGUCCCAUCAGCUAGUUGGUGAGGUAACGGCUCACCAAGGCGACGACGGGUAGGGGACCUGAGAGGGUGGCCCCCACAAUGGAACUGAGACACGGUCCAUACACCUACGGGUGGCAGCAGUAGGGAAUAUUGCUCAAUGGGCGAAAGCCUGAAGCAGCAACGCCGCGUGUGUGAUGAAGGCCUUACGGGUCGUAAAACACUUUUCUGAGAGAUGAGAAAGGACAGUAUCUCAGGAAUAAGUCUCGGCUAACUACGUGCCAGCAGCCGCGGUAAAACGUAGGAGGCAAGCGUUAUCCGGAUUCACUGGGCGUAAAGCGCGUGCAGGCGUGCGGUAAGUUGGGCGUGAAAUCUCCCGGCUCAACUGGGAGAGGUCGUCCAAUACUACCGUACUUGAGAGCAGAAGAGGAAAAUGGAAUUCCCGGUGUAGUGGUGAAAUGCGUAGAUAUCGGGAGGAACACCAGUGGCGAAGGCGAUUUUCUGGUCUGUUUCUGACGCUCAGACGCGACAGCUAGGGUAGUAAACGGGAUUAGAGACCCCGGUAAUCCUAGCCGUAAACGAUGUGAACUUGGCGUUGGUGGGUUAAACUCCAUCAGUGCCGUAGCAAACGCGAUAAGUUCACCGCCUGGGGACUACGGCCGCAAGGUUAAAACUCAAAGGAAUUGACGGGGGCCCGCACAAGCAGCGGAGCGUGUGGUUUAAUUCGAUGCUACACGAAGAACCUUACCCAGGCUUGACAUACAGGUGGUAGAGAUCCGAAAGGUGACCGACCCGCAAGGGAGCCUGAACAGGUGUUGCAUGGCUGUCGUCAGCUCGUGUCGUGAGAUGUUCGGUUAAGUCCGCUAACGAGCGCAACCCUCGCUGCGUGUUACAAGUGUCACGCAGGACCGCCGGUAUUAAGCCGGAGGAAGGUGGGGAUGACGUCAAGUCAGCAUGGCCUUUAUGCCUGGGGCUACACACACGCUACAAUGGACAGUACAAUGGGUUGCUAAGCCGCGAGGUGGAGCCAAUCCCCCAAAACUGUCCUCAGUUCAGAUUGCAGGCUGCAACUCGCCUGCAUGAAGCCGGAGUUGCUAGUAAACGCGCGUCAGCUAUAGUGCGUUGAAUACGUUCUCGGGCCUUGUACACACCGCCCGUCACGUCAUGGGAGCUGGUAACACCUGAAGCCGGUAGCCUAACCGCAAGGAGGGCGCCGUCGAAGGUGAGGCUGGUGACUGGGACGA
rnacentral:rRNA from 1 species